rnacentral:rRNA from 1 species
GAUGAACGCUGGCGGCGUGCCUAAUACAUGCAAGUCGAGCGAACGGACGAGAAGCUUGCUUCUCUGAUGUUAGCGGCGGACGGGUGAGUAACACGUGGAUAACCUACCUAUAAGACUGGGAUAACUUCGGGAAACCGUAGCUAAUACCGGAUAAUAUUUUGAACCGCAUGGUUCAAAAGUGAAGGACGGUCUUGCUGCCACUUAUAGAUGGAUCCGCGCUGCAUUAGCUAGUUGGUAAGGUAACGGCUUACCAAGGCAACGAUGCAUAGCCGACCUGAGAGGGUGAUCGGCCACACUGGAACUGAGACACGGUCCAGACUCCUACGGGAGGCAGCAGUAGGGAAUCUUCCGCAAUGGGCGAAAGCCUGACGGAGCAACGCCGCGUGAGUGAUGAAGGUCUUCGGAGCGUAAAACUCUGUUAUUAGGGAAGAACAUAUGUGUAAGUAACUGUGCACAUCUUGACGGUACCUAAUCAGAAAGCCACGGCUAACUACGUG